rnacentral:rRNA from 1 species
UCAUUAGAUACCCUGGUAGUGCCUGAAGUGUGCAACCGCAAGGAGCGCCCUAAGGUAAAACCGGUGACUGGGGCUAAGUCGUAACAAGGUAUC